rnacentral:rRNA from 1 species
GAUUGGAGUCUGCAACCCGACUCCAUGAAGCUGGAUUCGCUAGUAAUCGCGCAUCAGCCACGGCGCGGUGAAUACGUUCCCGGGUCUUGUACACACCGCCCGUCACACCAUGGGAGUCGGAAAUGCCCGAAGUCGGUGACCGAACCGAAAGGAAGGAGCCGCCGAAGGCAGGUCUGGUGACUGGGGUGAAGUCGUAACAAGGUAGC